CAGUCGCCACGGGAAUACGAAGGGGGCUAGCGUUGUUCGGAAUUACUGGGCGUAAAGCGCACGUAGGCGGAUAUUUAAGUCAGGGGUGAAAUCCCGCAGCUCAACUGCGGAACUGCCUUUGAUACUGGGUAUCUUGAGUAUGGAAGAGGUUAGUGGAAUUGCGAGUGUAGAGGUGAAAUUCGUAGAUAUUCGCAGGAACACCAGUGGCGAAGGCGGCUAACUGGUCCAUAACUGACGCUGAGGUGCGAAAGCGUGGGGAGCAAACAGGAUUAGAUACCCGCGUAGUCCCUGUCUCUUAUAC
rnacentral:rRNA from 1 species